UACGGAGGGUGCAAGCAUUAAUCGGAAUUAUUGGGCGUAAAGGGCGCGUAGGCGGGAAUAUAAGUCAGAUGUGAAAUUUCGUGGCUCAAACACGGAGCUGCAUUUGAAACUAUAUACCUUGAGGAUUGGCGGAGAGAACGGAAUUCCACGAGUAGCGGUGAAAUGCGUAGAUAUGUGGAAGAACACCAGUGGCGAAAGCGGUUUUCUAGCUAAAACCUGACGCUGAGGCGCGAGAGCAAGGGGAGCAAACAGG
rnacentral:rRNA from 1 species